rnacentral:tRNA from 1 species
GGUGUGGCUUAGUGGUAGAGUGCUUGCCUAUCAUGCAUGAAGCCCUGGGUUCAAUUCCUCAGUACC